rnacentral:rRNA from 1 species
ACACCGCAUGGUGAUAUUGCUAAAGAUUUAUCGGUGAUAGAUGGGCAUGCGUCUGAUUAGCUAGUUGGUAGGGUAAUGGCCUACCAAGGCGAUGAUCAGUAGGGGGCGUCAGAGCGUGGUCCCCCACACUGGCAUGAGAUACGGGCCAGACUCCUACGGGAGGCAGCAGUAGGGAAUAUUGGGCAAUGGAUGCAAGUCUGACCCAGCCAUGCCGCGUGGAGGAAGAAGGUCCUCUGGAUUGUAAACUCCUUUUUUGGGGGAAGAAUAGUUUUCUUGCGAGAGAAUGUGACGGUACCCUAAGAAUAAGCCACGGCUAACUACGUGCCAGCAGCCGCGGUAAUACGUAGGUGGCAAGCGUUGUCCGGAUUUAUUGGGUUUAAAGGGUGCGUAGGUGGUUUGAUAAGUCAGUGGUGAAAGCUGGUUGCUCAACAAUCAAGUUGCCAUUGAUACUGUCGGACUUGAGAGAAGUGGAGGUUCAUGGAAUGGAUGGUGUAGCGGUGAAAUGCAUAGAUAUCAUCCAGAACGUCGAUUGCGAAGGCAGUGGGCUGUACUUUAUCUGACACUGAGGCACGAAAGUGUGGGGAUCAAACAGGAUUAGAUACCCUGGUAGUCCACACUGUAAACGAUGCGAACUAGCUUUUUGGUUUUAGGAUUGGGAGGCUAAGGGAAACCGAUAAGUUCGCCACCUGGGGAGUACGCCGGCAACGG